rnacentral:rRNA from 1 species
UACGUAGGGUGCGAGCGUUGUCCGGAAUUACUGGGCGUAAAGAGCUCGUAGGUGGUUUGUCGCGUCGUCUGUGAAAUUCCGGGCUUAACUUCGGCGUGCAGGCGAUACGGCAUAACUUGAGUGCUGUAGGGAGACUGGAAUUCCUGGUGUAGCGGUGAAAUGCGCAGAUAUCAGGAGGAACACCGAUGGCGAAGGCAGGUCUCUGGGCAGUUACUGACGCUGAGGAGCGAAAGCAUGGGUAGCGAACAGGAUUAGA